ACUCCUACGGGAGGCAGCAGUGGGGAAUAUUGGGCAAUGGGGGAAACCCUGACCCAGCAACGCCGCGUGAAGGAAGAAGGCCUUCGGGUUGUAAACUUCUUUGAUCAGGGACGAAACAAAUGACGGUACCUGAAGAACAAGUCACGGCUAACUACGUGCCAGCAGCCGCGGUAAUACGUAGGUGACAAGCGUUAUCCGGAUUUACUGGGUGUAAAGGGCGUGUAGGCGGUUUCGUAAGUUGGAUGUGAAAUCCUCAGGCUUAACCUGAGAGGGUCAUCCAAAACUGCAAAACUUGAGUACUGGAGAGGAUAGUGGAAUUCCUAGUGUAGCGGUAAAAUGCGUAGAUAUUAGGAGGAACACCAGUGGCGAAGGCGACUAUCUGGACAGUAACUGACGCUGAGGCGCGAAAGCGUGGGGAGCAAACAGGAUUAGAAACCCCUGUAGUCC
rnacentral:rRNA from 1 species